UACGUAGGGGGCAAGCGUUGUCCGGAUUUAUUGGGCGUAAAGAGCGUGUAGGCGGCUUGGUAGGUCCGCUGUGAAAACUCGAGGCUCAACCUCGAGAUGUCGGCGGAAACCACUUGGCUAGAGUCCGGAAGAGGAGAGUGGAAUUCCUGGUGUAGCGGUGAAAUGCGCAGAUAUCAGGAAGAACACCUAUGGCGAAGGCAGCUCUCUGGGCAUGACCUGACGCUGAGGAGCGAAAGUGUGGGGAGCGAACAGG
rnacentral:rRNA from 1 species